UUUCGCCAGAGUAAAUACUUUAUUACUGAAAAAGUUAAGUAUAAACAAUUAGGCAAUUAUUGAAAACAUUUCAACACUUUAAGAGUUUAAUGUGGCCUUGUCAAAUAGUUGCACAACUCAGUUGGUGUACAGUACAUCAGCCAAACUUCACACAUUACAAAAUACAUUUCCAAGACUGUUGUUACAUAAAGCAACAGCAAAGAUUUUUUUUCUACUUUGCUCAAAUUGUAUUGAAUGCUUUAAAUGGGAUGAACAACUGUCAAAUAACAUUCACUGACAUAAAUACUUAUCCAAGGGUGUGGUUGAGCAGCAUUGCUGACCCGCAUGCAAGCUGAUAAAUUCUACGCUCAUUACACACUUGGACCAAACAAUCGAAGCAAUAUCAUUACCAUAAGUGCUUGUGUUAUGCUUUUAAAAACAACGCUCCAUUGUGAACACAGUACAGAAUAACUUCUAUAAGCAUCUCUAGUUCAACAUCAAACUGUCAUUCAAAAAUAAUGAAGCAUCUAUUUGUAAAUAUAUAUUUACAUGUUCAAGUCAAAUGACAAUGAAAGCAAUUAAAAAUUCUUGUUUUCUUUCUGUAGCAGUUAAAGUUAACAUUCACGGUGUAAAGAAUAAUACAAAUUAUUUCCUAUGUGUCAAUGACCAAAACCACAAAAACAGCAAAUAACAAAAAAAAAAAAUUAUAAUGCUUAUAAUGCAUACUUUUAAGAUGAAAAAUAUACUAGUAUUAUAUUUUUAUAAAGGUCAUCUAGUUUUAUAGUUUUCUUUUAUAAACAUCUGUUGAAAGCCAUACAACUCUGAAAGUGUUUUUUUAAAAGCAACCAUUUAAAAAAAAAAAAAAAAGACAAUGAACAAUUAAAAUAAUAGUCCAUUAAUUAGUAUUAAGGUUCUCACAUUGUUCACAGAAUUGUCUUGAUAUUAGCAGCAUGUUUGUAAAAGGACUCUUCUCUGAUUUUGAGGACUGGAUUCAAACCAAGUAAAUCACAAAUACAUAAUAUACAGUUGAAGUCAGAAGUUUACAUACACCUUAGCCAAAUACAGUUAAACUCAGGUUUUCACAAGUCCUGACAUUUAAUCGUAGCAAUCAUUCCCUGUCUUAGGUCAGUUAGGAUCACUACUUUAUUUUAAGAAUGUGAAAUGUCAGAAUAAUAGUAGAGAGAAUGAUUUAUUUCAGCUUUUAUUUCUUUCAUCACAUUCCCAGUGGGUCAGAAGUUAACAUACACUUUGUUAGUAUUUGGUAGCAUUGUCAAUAAAUUGUUUUACUUGGGUAAAAUGUUUUGGGUUGCCUUCCACAAGCUUCUCACAAUAAGUUUCUAGAAUUUUGGCCCAUUCCUCCAGACAGAACUGGUGUAACUGAGUCAGGUUUGUAGGCCUCAGACUGAGGUCAGGGCUUUGUGAUGGCCACACCAAUACCUUGACUUUGUUGUCCUUAAGUCAUUUUGCCACAACUUUGGAGGUAUGCUUGGGGUCAUUGUCCAUUUGGAAGACCCAUUUGCGACGAGCUUUAACUUCAUGGCUGAUGUCUUGAGAUGUUGCUUCAAUAUAUCCACAUAAUUGUCCUUCCUCAUGAUGACAUCUAUUUUGUGAAGUGCACCAGUCCCUCCUGCAGCAAAGCACCCCCACAACAUGAUGCUGCCAUCCCCAUGCUUCACGGUUGGGAUGGUGUUCUUCGGCUUGCAAGCCUCACCCUUUUUCCUCCAAAGCAUAACGAUGGUCAUUAUAGCCAAACAGUUCCAUUUUUGUUUCAUCAAACCAGAGGAUAUUUCUCCAAAAAGUAAGAUUUUUGUCCCCAUGUGCACUUGCAAAUUGUAGUUUGGCUUUUUUAUGGCAGUUUUGGAGCAGUGGCUUCUUCCUUGCUGAGCAGCCUUUCAGGUUAUGUCGAUAUAGGACUCGUUUUACUGUGGAUAUAGAUACUUGUCUACCUGUUUCCUUCAGCAUCUUCACAAGGUCCUUUGCUGUUGUUCUGGGAUUGAUUUGCAUUUUUUACACCAAACUAUGUUCAUCUCUGGGAGACAGAAUACUUAUACUUCCUGAGAGGUAUGAUGGCUGCGUGAUCCCAUGGUGUUUAUACUUGCGUACUAUCAUUUGUACAGAUGAACGUGGUACCUUCAGGUGUAUGGAAAUUGCUCCCAAGGAUGAACCAGACUUGUGGAGGUCCACAAUUUUUUUUUCUGAAGUCUUGGCUGAUUUCUUUUGAUUUUCCCAUGAUGUCAAGCAAAGAGGCACUGAGUUUGAAGGUAGGCCUUAAAAUACAUCCACAGGUACACCUCCAAUUAGCCUACCAGAAGCUAACUGGCUAAUUGCCUAAAGACUUGACAUCAUUUUCAAGCUGCUUAAAGGCACAGUUAACUUAGUGUAUGUAAACUUCUGACCCACUGGAAUUGUGAUAUAGUCAAUUAAAAGUGAAACUGUCUCUGAACAAUUGUUGGAAAAAUUACUCGUGUCAUGCACAAAGUAGAUGUCCUAAACGACUUGCCAAAACUAUAGUUUGCUAAUAUAAAAUUUGUGGAGUGGUUAAAAAAUUAAUUUUAAUGACUUCAACCCAAGAGUAUAUAAACUUCUGACUUCAACUGUAUCUAUAAUUAAUUUCUUACUAGUUGAAAUUCCAAAUACACAUAUCAGCUAUUUACUUCUUUCUAGUAAAAAUGCUAACUAUAAUAUUAUUGAUAUCAAUAAUUACUUUGUUACUAUUGCAAAUGUCCAACCCGAUAUCAAAAAUUGAAUUACAACUAGUAAAAAUGCUAUUUUUCGAUAUCUGUAAAUUCAUUUCAACGUGUUAUAUUUGGUAUUUCCGACAUCUGGAAAUGGAUUUCAGAUAAAUUGAUCAAUAAAUUGAGGAGUAAUUUAAGAUAUCUUAUAAGGCUUUCUUAAUAGUUACAAUCACAUUACAGAUAUCUGAAAUUCAUAUUGCUGCUAGUGGCAAUAUCAAUGCAUGUUAGUGUUUUACUAUAUUUUUACUACUUGAAAUUCCAUUUUUUUUAUGAAGAAUAUGCAUUUCCACGAGUAAUGACUUCAUGUUUUUAGAACGUUUUUAUUAGUGCAAACCUAAAUAAUGAUUUCAAAAAUGAGUAUUUCCACUAUUAGUAAUUCCAUUGCUGAUAUGAAUAAUUAGCAUUUAAACUAGUGAAAAUGUAAUUAGAUAUCAUUAAUUCAUAUAAUGCACACGAUUAUUUCAGCUUGCCAAAUCAUCAAGUGUGUCCAAACUUUUGACUGCAGUGUAUAUUAAACAUGUAAUAUUAUUAACAUUUAAUAAAUGUUUAAAUAAUUUAUCAGCAGUUUAUUAACAAAAUAUUAUAUUUAAGAUUAUGGUUAUAAUAUAAUAACGUGCAAUCAUACAGCUAAUAACUAUGUGUCAGGUGACACACACGUGACUACAGUAAAUCAUGACUAGCCAUUAUUUUUAUCGCAUUGAAUAAGAGGAAGCAGGUGGAACUGGUUAGUCUAAAUGAAAUUUAAGGCCGCAUGUUCCCAGAAUCUUCGUACAAGAACAGACCCGAAAAUCAAGUCAUGUUAUGUAAAUUAUUUAAAUGCUUAAAUGUUAUACCCACAUGAAGUGCAUAGCAUGACUCAUUCACUUCAAGGACUACCACUUCACAUUAGAUCUCUCGAUUUACAUGCAUUUAUUUACACAAACACACUUUAAACGAGAAACUGACAGUAAUCCGCUGUUGUGUAAGCAGAUAUAUUAGAUUUAAGACACACCAAAACAGUACACCCGCCUUUUUUGGUUUUUGCGUCAGGCGUUUGUAGGAAACCAAAAAGCUAAUCUGUUAUUUUUCAGAAAUAAAAAAAUACAAACUGCGUCUUUAUCUUGACAAUUUCGUUAAUCACAGGUAAUAAACCAUUUGAACAGUUAGGAAACACAGAUAAAAAUCAGCCUAACACCUUGCUUGGAAAUGAGAAAACACCUCAAAUAUAGUCUCUAAAACGAAAACUCUAUAUUUGAUCGCAAAAGGAUACUGAAGACAGUUCUCUCCCAUGGUUCCAACAUAUAAAGCGCCGUUACGAGCAGAUAUUGGUAAUAAAACCACGAAAGUUGUUUCCAGGUAUCUCCAAACGCCAUGUUUUCCCUCUGCUCGUGUUGGUCCCGCCGCUCCCUUCCGGUCGAACUUUCAGCAGCGCUGAUUGGUGGAUCGAGAUUGAAACAAAAUAAAAGUCCCGCUACUGAAGUGGCCCGUUGGACUUUUUUAUCAAGAGGGUUACAAUUUAUUUGAAUGUGUAAGUGAAAAUUAAUAUGCAAGGUAAAAUGUAGGCACAGGCUAUUUGUAAAAGGCACAAAAAGCAUCUUAUUUGCACCCUAGUGCAAAUAGACCUUUUUCACAGACUGUGAUGACGCGUUUCCACCUUAUUUAGCAGCGUAAAUCUAGUGAACUAUUUUAUAUGAUCAUUUUUUAGAAAUAUUGAGUACAAGUUCAUAACAUUAUGCUUUUUUGGGGGGGGGGCUAUCUAGGGUUGCCACUCGUCCCGUAAAAUAUGGGAUCGUCCCGUAAUUAAAGAUAAAAUGAUGCGUCACGUAUUCUUUUAUCAAUUUUGCCCUGUAUUUAAGCUGGUCAGAUGGCGUCACGGUGAAAUCGUUCCAGAUCGCCAAUUUAACAUCUAAGUUGGAAAAUUUGCCUACGGUGGGUAAGGGACCGUCUGAAAAGUCUACACAUUGUGCUAAAACGUGCUAAUAUUGUGGAGGGUUUGGUAAGGAACCGUCUGAAAAGUCCACAAAUGGUGGAAUUAUUUCUAUAUAAAUGUUCAAUAAGAUCAAACAAUGUAUGAAUACAAUCAUAAAGACAAGUACAGGUGAAGGAAAAAAAUAUAUAAAAUAAAUAUAAAUUAUAAAAAAAAAUUGUAUAAACCAUCCAAAAUGUAUACAUAAUAAGAUAAAGAAGACAAAUAAUCGAAAAAAUUAAAAUAAA